GGCCUGAUAGUUCAGUGGUAGAAUUCUUGCUUUGGGAGUGUCUUUGAUGCUACAAAGUUGUAAGAGGGUAUGUCAUCUAAUAUCACAUGAUAUGUGUAGCAGCGCUAAUAACCACGCCAGUCUCCGGUUCGAUCCCGGAUUAGGCCC